CGNAUUAAGCCAUGCNGAGUCGAGAGGGUUCGGCCCCUCGGCGUACUGCUCAGUAACACGUGGAUAACCUGCCCNUAGGGAAGGGGAUAAUCCCGGGAAAACUGGGGAUAAUACCCUAUAGGUUACAGAUGCUGGAAUGCUCUGUAAUCAAAAGUUCCGGCGCCCUAGGAUGGAUCUGCGGCCGAUUAGGUUGUUGUUGGGGUAAUGGCCCAACAAGCCAGUAAUCGGUACGGGUUGUGGGAGCAAGAGCCCGGAGUUGGAUUCUGAGACACGAAUCCAGGCCCUACGGGGCGCAGCAGGCGCGAAAACUUUACAAUGCGGGCAACCGUGAUAAGGGAACCUCGAGUGCCUGUAAAUGCAGGCUGUUCAGAUGCCUAAAACACAUCUGGAGAAAGGGCCGGGCAAGACCGGUGCCAGCCGCCGCGGUAAUACCGGCGGCUCGAGUGGUGGCCACUUUUAUUGGGCUUAAAGCGUUCGUAGCUGGGUUGUUAAGUCUCUUGGGAAAUCUGGCGGCUUAACCGUCAGGCGUCUAAGGGAUACUGGCAAUCUUGGAACCGGGAGAGGUGAGGGGUACUUCGGGGGUAGGAGUGAAAUCCUGUAAUCCUCGAGGGACCACCUGUGGCGAAGGCGCCUCACCAGAACGGCUUCGACAGUGAGGGACGAAAGCUGGGGGAGCAAACCGGAUUAGAUACCCGGGUAGUCCCAGCCGUAAACUAUGCGCGUUAGGUGUAUCGGUGACCACGAGUUACCGAGGUGCCGAAGGGAAACCGUGAAACGUGCCGCCUGGGAAGUACGGUCGCAAGGCUGAAACUAAAGGAAUGGCGGGGGAGCA
rnacentral:rRNA from 1 species